GACGAACGCUGGCGGCGUGCCUAAUACAUGCAAGUCGAACGCAGUGGGGACGGGUGAGUAACACGUGGGUAACCUCCCAUCAGAGGGGAUAACACUUGGAAACAGGUGCUAAACCGAUACUGAUGGAUGGACCCGCGGUGCAUUAGCUAGUGGGUGAGGUAACGGCUCACCAAGGCCACGAUGCAUAGCCCGCCUGAGGAGGUGAUUGGCCAACCUGGGACUGAGACACGGCCCAGACUCCCACGUGAGGCAGCAGUAAGGAAUUUUCGGCCAUGGGCGGAAGUCUGACCGAGCAACGGCGCGUUAGUGAAGAAGGUUUUCGGGUCGGAAAACCCUGUUGGUGGGGAAGCGGUAUCUAACCAGAAAGCCACGGCUAACUACGUGCCAGCAGCCGCGGUAAUAC
rnacentral:rRNA from 1 species